GGGAGAGAGAUGUAUGGUGAGUCUCUCGUUACCCAGAAUGCCCUGCUUGCUUAGGCGCUAAAUGCAGCAGUUCCUUAAAAAAAGGAAAAAGAUAUUGAGGCUAAUAGCAGGACCAGACCAAGACAUUUGCUGUCUGAGGAAAAGAACAAGAUUGUGCCGUCUCCCAGUUCCACAUGCAGAAGUCAACGCUUUUCGUUGCGAUGUUAAAUCAUUACUGUUCUCUCACCAAAGAGUACUUUCGUCAAACUUGGGGCUUGACUUCCAGGAUUCCAACAACUAGUCCUGGGGCUGCCACCACAUGUUACUUUCAUCCUCCUUAGUAUGUUACCCUUGUAGAAAUCCAUAGGAAUGGGGAUGGGGACAAAGUUAGUUAGCUCAACCUGUGGCUCCAUCUACAACUGGCUUUGCCUUCACCUACCACUGACUUCUCAGCCUUCUUCCCCACCAGUCCCACAGGGCACCAGAUAUCCUUGCUCUCCAGAUUUACCUCAUUGGCUCUUGGAUAGCCUGCAGCCAAGACCAGCAGUAAGAGAAGAGGUGAAACAUACUCCAGCAAACCACAGAGAUGAACAGGGGCAGGGACAUCCAAGGGAGGAAAAACGGCAAAUCCAAAGGACUGUCAGUUUGAAGGCCUUGCUUCUUUAUCCAGAAAUGGCAAGAUGUGUGUGAGAAGGUGCCUACAAUUUCCUGUGCGGGCUAUGCCCCGAGUGUCUGAGGAAAGGAGCAAUCAGAUUUCUCACUUGUUUUAAAUGGCUUGAGGAAAUGGAACACACCAAUUGGGCAGUUCAGCAAAUCUCUUGUAAUGGAUCACAUCACGGUUCAGUCAGUCAUGUGUUGGUUUAAUCCUGGGAUUGACCUCUCUGCACCUGCAGGAAAGCACAGCCAUUCAUUCUACAGUCAUUCUGAAACUUCCUUAUUUGCAGACAACAGUCAGUCAGUGUACUGGAUAGAUCAGAGAUGGGGAACUUGUUGUCCUGCAUAAUUUGUUGGACUACAAUUCCCAUUACCCCUGAUAAUUGUCCAUGCUGGCUUGAGGUGAUGGGAGUAGGAGUCCAGCAACAUCUAGAGAGCCGCAAGUUUUGUAUUCUUGGGAGAGAGAGUCUUGGACAAGUGGGCAAUGGCAGCAGGAGAGCCACUGUGAAGCAAUUUAAAAAGCAGAGACAAUACAUCGAAAAGCUUCAGUGUACAUAAGACCAAUUCAUAAAGCAGCAUCGAUGACAAUACAAACAUAUUGGCAAAUAAAUUUUAAUAAAUGAA